rnacentral:rRNA from 1 species
UACGAAGGGUGCAAGCGUUACUCGGAAUUACUGGGCGUAAAGCGUGCGUAGGUGGUUCGUUAAGUCUGAUGUGAAAGCCCUGGGCUCAACCUGGGAACUGCAUUGGAUACUGGCGAUCUGGAGUGCGGUAGAGGGUGGCGGAAUUCCCGGUGUAGCAGUGAAAUGCGUAGAUAUCGGGAGGAACAUCCGUGGCGAAGGCGGCCGCCUGGACCAGCACUGACACUGAGGCACGAAAGCGUGGGGAGCAAACAGG